UGAAGCCUUCUCCAGGCUAAACAAGUCCAAUUUCCUCAGCCUCUCCUCAAGGGCAAGUGCCCCAGUCCCCAGCCAUCCUGGGGCGGUCCACUGAACUUAGUCCAGUUUAUCAACAUCUUUCUUUUUGAGGGGACCCCCUCGCUAGAUGCAGUAUUCUAGAUGUGCUGCAAAUAAGUGCCAGUUAGAGAGUACAUUUUGUGACGAUAUCUGGCAUACUUGAAAUUAGAGUGAAUUAUUUCACACAUCUUCGUAUUUUGCUUACCUACCCUAUAUCACGCCGGAUGUUCUAAUCAGACUUUCAAUUUUUUAAACUAUCUUUUCUAACACAAACGGCAUUGGUAUAGUUUUAGCGAUACAAGCCCUAAAAGAAAUGAGUUAUGUAAAUGCAAGCUGAACAACUGCUUUCCAUAUCCCAGUAUCCUUCAGACGUUGGAUGGGUUUUCUCUGGAGUCUUUUAAGAAGCUUCUCCCUUUUGUGUGUAGAUCUGUCUGUGAAGCAGCAUCAGUUUCUCGUAUGCAGCCAUGUUCCUUCUUCUUUCUGUUGUUCUGCAGUUAGGCUGCCUCCCUUUUCCCCUGCCCGACCUCCAGCCUUCCAGGAAGAUACUGUCCUUUCUCCUGCAGAGGCUCCCAGUCCUUGCUGAGUUCCCUGACUUGUUUAUCCACAGGCUUCUUCAGCUACGGCAUCAAACAGGACGCGCUGUUCCAGAAAUGGUCACGCCAGUACCGGGCCUUGAUGUGAUUCAGCCUGCCUAUAACAUCCUAACAGUCCUGAUUCUGUUGUUUAUACGCUGAUGGAUUGAAUUUCUGCCUUGGCCUCAGUGUUGCAGAGGGAUUCAUCUUUAGCUGGUUAUCUAGCAGGCUCCUGGCAGGUCUGUCUUCCAGUUUGCUAUUUUCCCACAUAGAUUCCUCCGCUCCAUGAAUCCACCUCUGUUCCUUAUGCCUAGAUGUGUAACUUCAUGUAUUUGCUUGUAGCCAAUUUACCAAGAAUUGAGAUUGCUUGGUACCAAUGAGCUGUUCCCUUUGUUAGUUACCACUUCCCUAGUCUUUGUUAUCUAUCAG
rnacentral:lncRNA from 1 species